GACAGAGGGUGCAAACGUUGUUCGGAAUUACUGGGCGUAAAGCGCGUGUAGGCGGCUUUGCAAGUCGGGUGUGAAAUCCCACGGCUCAACCGUGGAAGUGCACUCGAAACUGCAAGGCUAGAGUCCUGGAGAGGAAGGUGGAAUGCUUGGUGUAGAGGUGAAAUUCGUAGAUAUCAAGCGGAACACCGGUGGCGAAGGCGGCCUUCUGGACCGGUAUUGACGCUGAUGCGCGAAAGCCAGGGGAGCAAACGGG
rnacentral:rRNA from 1 species